UACGGAGGGUGCAAGCGUUAUCCGGAUUCACUGGGUUUAAAGGGCGCGUAGGCGGCCAACUAAGUCGGACGUGAAAUCCCCGGGCUCAACCCGGGAACUGCGUCCGAUACUGGAUGGCUUGAAUCCGGGAGAGGGAUGUGGAAUUCCAGGUGUAGCGGUGAAAUGCGUAGAUAUCUGGAGGAACACCGGUGGCGAAGGCGGCAUCCUGGACCGGUAUUGACGCUGAGGCGCGAAAGCCAGGGGAGCAAACGGG
rnacentral:rRNA from 1 species